CUCCUCUACCCAAAGCCACCAGCCCACGUACAGACUAGAUAGAUACCCUGGGCGCUGACUGUACCCACUAUGGUCCUGCUGGGUUAAAGAAGGGAUCCGUUCCCCCAACCCCUGCCUCUCACCCAAUGGCCCCUAGCCUGCCCCCGCGACCACCAGAAGCCAUAAUCCAACCUGACCCAGAAGAGAACUAUGAUGUUACGUACGCCUCUAGGAAGAGGGAACGCAACACCCUGCUAGAAUUCAACUCUCAAAAGGACAGUGAAAGUGAUGAAAUGUAUGAAGAUCUUGAUGAAAGAUGACUCCAACGAGACAUGCCCGGCAGAAUCUGAAAUACCUGGUGAAAAAAGUCAAGAGCCCCUGGUUUCCGCGAUUCGUCAGAACAGCCCUCGUCAAAAAAGCCG